GGAGCGGUAGUUCAGUUGGUUAGAAUACCGGCCUGUCACGCCGGGGGUCGCGGGUUCGAACCCCGUCCGCUCCGCCA
rnacentral:tRNA from 3 species